rnacentral:lncRNA from 1 species
CAGUACCAUGAAUGGCAUUGCAUUCCAUAGUUAAUUCUAAUUGGGUAAAAAUUCGGUACGGGUAUAAUACGAAUAAAAUUCAUAUUUUAAUCUUUAAAUUCGUUGAAAAAUUCGGCUUAAAUAAUAGAUUGGUCAAUUAUUCGGAUAUGCAAUUUAUACGAAAUUAUACGUUCCCCAAUUAAAAAUUUGGGAUAAAAAAUUUGCCUUUUAAACUAAUUUUUUUUUCUCUAAAUUUAUGCUACUAGCAUACAUAGUUAUAUACUCUUAAGAAUAUAUAAAUAGAGAUUUACAAAAUAAAGUAGAUUAAGUAAAAAAAGUAAUAGCAAAUUUUAUUGUCAUCUCCAUUUUUAUCUUUUUCAUGAUCCACAUAUUUCGGAUGUUUAUGAAGUUUUUCAAUAAUUUAUAAAUAAUUUGGCAAUAAUUCGAAAAGAGAUUUUAGCCAAAAGUUAUGUAUAUUUUUUUUGGAAUAAGUUGCAUACGGACUGUUUUAUUCGAAUUUUUAAUAAUUCGCAAAUAAUUUGCAAAUUAACUUACUCUGUUGCAUUAUAUCAAUUUUUUAUUAUUUUUCAUAUCCAAGAUCAUAAGCAAUCACAGCUGCGUGAAUAAUUGAAAGAUAAAUUUGUACAGAAUUUGUAUAAACUAAAGAAUAUUUUGUAUUGGUUAUCCAAUCUUUUAAAAUUUUAAUGUAAAUAUUUAAUUUUUAAAUUUAUUUAAUUUGAGUCAGACAACAAUACUAACUUUAACAUCUGAAUAAUCAUUUAUCUUUAUAAAUUUAGUUAGUAUACUUUGUGCAAAUCUCACAACUAUAAAUUUACUAAAAUAAGUAGUUAGGUUAAAUUUUAAAGUUAAAAUAUUGUUUACUUACUCAAAUAAAAAAAAUAAAAUUUGAUUAGUAAAAUUAAAAUUUUGAAAUGUUGGAUAGUUGGUUUAAAAUAGUCCAAAUUUCAAAUAAGUUUUGUAUAUUAUCACAUCCAUAUAAUCUUACCCGUCCAUUAUAUGGGACUCGAUUGGUGUUUGCCGCACAAAAGAUUCCACUGUUGGACGGCUCUGAUCAUCUAAGAAGAUGCCCAAUCGUGAUAAACGAUCCAAACUAAUUUUGGCCUGACCUUUCCUCAAUUUAUUUUACGCUUCGUUUCGGAUUGUAAGGGAAUUGUAUUAGGUGCAGUGAGAAAGUACAAUAGGAAAAUAUCUUUUUGUUUCCAUACAUAAUACUGUAUUCCGCAUAUGGCGAUGAGUCGGUUACGAUAUAUUUUCUACGGUCUCAAUGAGAACGCAAAGGCAUAUCUCUAUAUGCUUUUAUCCCAACUUCAUUUUAUCCAAUAGCAUCGGAUGGCCUCAAUACCAAACUAAGCAUUAGUCUUUUUUUCCUCUUUUGACCCG